rnacentral:tRNA from 1 species
GGAAGAGUGGGUGAGUUGGCUGAAACCAGGCGUUUGCUAAAUGUCCGAACGGAGCAAUCCGUUCCGAGAGUUCGAAUCUCUCCUCUUCCG